UCCACCGUGAGGUAGAAUCUGAAGGAAGUCGGACGCAAACACUCGCACUGACGAAAAGAAAUCUCAUGCGAGGCUAAAUGGAGAUGGACGAGCUUACCCAAAAAAGCGAAGUCCUAUAGUGCACGAAUCUCCUACAGUAAAUGAGGCAGUGACAUGAGUGGAAGUUUAUCAUU
rnacentral:ncRNA from 1 species